rnacentral:rRNA from 1 species
GUGUCAGCAGCCGCGGUAAUACAGAGGAGCCAAGCGUUGUCCGGAUUGACUGGGCGUAAAGCGCACGCAGGCGGUCGGGCACGUGGGGUGUGAAAUCUGGCCGCUUAACGGCCAGGCGCCAUCCCAUACGGCCGGACUGGAGGGCUGCAGAGGUCGAUGGAAUUGCCGGUGUAGUGGUGAAAUGCGUAGAGAUCGGCAGGAACACCCAGGGGGAAACCAGUCGACUGGGCAGCACCUGACGCUGAGGUGCGAGAGCGUGGGGAGCGAACCGGAUUAGAUACCCGCGUAGUCC